CAGUAGCCGCGGGAAUACGUAGGGUGCAAGCGUUAAUCGGAAUUACUGGGCGUAAAGCGUGCGCAGGCGGUUAUAUAAGACAGAUGUGAAAUCCCCGGGCUCAACCUGGGAACUGCAUUUGUGACUGUAUAGCUAGAGUACGGCAGAGGGGGAUGGAAUUCCGCGUGUAGCAGUGAAAUGCGUAGAUAUGCGGAGGAACACCGAUGGCGAAGGCAAUCCCCUGGGCCUGUACUGACGCUCAUGCACGAAAGCGUGGGGAGCAAACAGGAUUAGAUACCCCUGUAGUCCCUGUCUCUUAUCC
rnacentral:rRNA from 1 species